GACGAACGCUGGCGGCGUGCCUAAUACAUGCAAGUUGAGCGAUGAAGAUCGGUGCUUGCACGAAUGUGUAGAGCAGCGAACGGGGGGGUAACGCGUGGUGAAUCACCUGUUGAGCGGGGGAGAACAACCGGAAGCGAAUGCUAAUACCGCAUAACAUCUUUAAACAUACGUUCUAAGGUUGAAAGAUACAAUUGCAUCACUCAAAGAUGAUCCCGCGUUGUAUUAGCUAGUUGGUGAGGUAAAGGCUCAACAAGGCGAUGGUACAUAGCCGGCCGGAGAGGGUGGUCGGCCACAUUGGGACGGAGAGACGGCCCGAACUCCCACGGGAGGCAGCCGGAGGGAAGCAUUGGCGAUCGACGAGAGUCAGGCUGAUGCACGCCGGGUGAGUGAAGAAGGGUGUCGGUUCGGUAAACACCGUUUGUAGAGAAGGAAGUUGGUGAGAGUGGAAUGCUCAUCAAUUGACGGUAGCUACCCAGAAAGGGACGGCUAACUACGUG
rnacentral:rRNA from 1 species